AUUGAACGCUGGCGGCAGGCCUAACACAUGCAAGUCGAACGAGUGGCGGACGGGUGAGUAAUGUCUGGGGAACUGCCUGAUGGAGGGGGAUAACUACUGGAAACGGUAGCUAAUACCGCAUACCAUCAGAUGUGCCCAGAUGGGAUUAGCUAGUUGGUGGGGUAAAGGCUCACCAAGGCGACGAUCCCUAGCUGGUCUGAGAGGAUGACAAGCCACACUGGAACUAGGACACUGUCCAGACGCCUAGGGUAGGCCGGAGUGGGGAAUAUUGCACAAUGGGGGAAAGCGUGAUGCAGCCAUGCCGCGUGUAUGAAGAAGGCCAUCGGGUUGUAAAGUACUUUCAGUGGGGAGGCGUUACCCGCAGAAGAAGCACCGGCUAACUACGUGCCAGCAGCCGCGGUAAUUC
rnacentral:rRNA from 1 species